AUAGGAGAACGAGGUGGCGUUGAGGGAGGCAGACCGAAACAGAAGUGGGAGGAGGGAAGUGAAAAUGUUUAGAGUGUCAGCGGGGGGCCAAUCAGCUUAUAGGUGCACCCCUGCUCCCGGGACGCACUCGGUCCAGAGCAUGAUGGUCAUCCUGCAAGACGAGGCGCGCACAGAGGCACCUGACGCCGAGGACUUCAGUCAGGGACAAAACUCUGCUGCCCGCUUCCGUCCGAGCCCUCAAUCUACCUCCUCAACAUUUUUCCUGGAAAGAGAGAAGGAAAAAAAGACCACCUUCUAACUGCAGUGAAAAAAAAAAAAAAAAAAAAAAAAGGAGCCGUAUCAUCUGGCUGAUCCUCCGGCACCGUCGACUAUGGUAUGGACUGCAAACCUUGUGUUAUGUUCAGGGGCGGGGGGACUGGCUGCUCAGCCUUACAUGGCAACCAAAGGAAAAGCCUUGAACAGAAUUUACACUCAAAGUCACCUUACGGUGCAGACUACCAUACAUGGGGGAGAGGACAGUGAGGAGAAAUGUUCUGCUGCUAACUUCCUGACCUUGGCGAAAGGAGAAGAUCCUAUUGAAGCUGCAUCUCUCCACCGCUUGGACCCAUCUGCAUGAUGUUCCGUGCCGCUCACUUUCACGCCUAGGACCACACGGCAAUGCGCUGCAUGCUCCUCCCGGGCCGUCUGAGUGACAAACACAGCAGAUGCUGACAUUAUCAAAUGCCGAGUGCCUGUCGUCCCCCCCCGGCUUUUGCCCUGUUAUGGACCUCGGACGAGGUGAGCAGCCAGGCCACCUGACUCUGAGCGACCCUGAGUGUGUGUGUGUGUGUAAGUGAGCGAGCAUGAAUGUGCAUGUGCAUGUUACAAAUAGACCUGCCUCUGGUGUGCCAUAUCAAACUGGCCCUACACUGACCUCCAUCCCGUCUACAAGCAGCGCUUUAAAUCCCUCAGCUGUCAUUCGCCGCUCUGAGAAGCUUAUUCCUGCCUUGGCAGAAAAGUCUAUAACUAGAACAGCUGAGCUGCGCUUCAUAUUCCUCUUGCAAAAUAGUGUCAAAGGAACAUUUAAACCAGCAAUAAUAAUGAAAGCUGAAAAAGAAAAGUGAAAUAUUGAUGUUGCUCUAAUAGUAGCAGCGGUUUAUUGAGCUCAUGAAGGACGACAACUAACAACAACAAAAAAGACAACAAAGGUUUAGUAAGAUGCUUCUGUGAUGAUGCGUGUAUGUGAAGUGAUUCAAUACUAUACUUCUGUUGAGCCCUGAAAGAGAAGAUAAUAAAUAAUCUGCCCUCAAGCCACAGUUCAAACAGUACCCUCUACACUACAAAUCAGUCUCUGGGACUUAAAUGACUGGUUUAAAUUAAUGUUGGGACUUGACACCCCAGAGUGCUGCUGUAGGAGCAUGAGCGCACAUGUGUGUGUGUGUGUGUGUGUGCACGUGUGUGUGGUUGUGCCUACGCAUUUGUCUGCCGGCCGUCUGGGUGACCGCAGCGGCGGCGUGUUUGCAGCAGGGCCCAUCCGUCAGAGCCUGUAAUUGCUUCAUGACUCCAGGACAUUUGACUCAAGUGCACUGCCACAGAUUAUUAUUAUCCUUUUCUCAGGGAACAGGGCCCCUCCCCCCUCGCCCCUCCCCUUCGCUCACUAGGGGGGGGCGAGCAUAAAACUUAAAAGAUAGACCCGAAAAUAUAUGCUCUUUGGGAGGUGGCAAAGGAGAAAGGUAGGUGAGGUUGAUCAACGGUACCUCGUGUGUUGUUGGCGUAGUGUGAGGCGUGCGGCGGGCUAAAACGAGGUGGGCGAGGGUGAACGGGCGAGAUAACAGAAAGGAGAGAGGAGGAGACGCAGCGCCGUCCUCUCAAGCUGGUGGGUGGACUCGGCGCGACGGGGCACAUCUCAGCUUUUUAAUAAGAUGUUUAAAUGCAACACGGCGUCUCUCUGCACAGUGUGUCUCGGGCCCUUUUGGAUUUAACUCUGCUGCUGCAGAGCCCACGUGAAGGUCUCCCCACCGCAGACGCUGCCCAGUCCGUCUCUGAAACAGCGAUUCCACAAUGCUUUGCUAAAGCUGGUAAAAUGGAACCAAAUCACCUCUUGAAUGGAUUUGGUCCCCUUCAACCAGCUGUAGCUAUGCUUUGAUGACACCAGGAGCUCCUUCCGACUGCAAUGCCUUCAACACACUCACUGCCGCGGGAGUGCGGGGAGGGGGCAUCCUCCUAAAGAUGGCCGGCAUAUGGCUUCCCUCUACCGACGACAUCUGCACUGCUCAUAGCUGUAAUGUUUAAUGUCACAUUUAUGACUAAUAAAGAAAAUAAUCCCACCUUAAAAACCUUCCACUUCCCUGACUGUUUACUCUCUGCCUCCGACCGGAUUCAUGUUCUCACCACACUAUCAAUGGCUGGUUUUAAAAAUAGCAAUGGGGGAAGGAGGGGAGGAUGGUCAGGGUGCGCUAUUUCACAGCCAUGGACUCACAUGUCGGUAAGAGAAGCCUCCUAAAGUGACUGUGUGCGAACAGUCAAUUACAGCGUGGGUGGGAAUAGGAAAGAGGAAAAAUAAAAAAACAUAAAAAGGGGGACCGCCAACUCAGCCGAGCUGGGGCACGAACGGGGGUCUUAUAAAGAAGAAACAGGACAAUAAGAAUAAAAGAGGUGGGAAGUGUAUCUAUGAAGAGAAGGUACACUUUGCACAGAUGCAGAGAGGCUCCAGUCUCACGCGCUGCACUCGCUGUGACUGCAGAUCCCAGCCAACUGCCUUCACACAGAGUCUCCUGACCCCCCCCUCCUCCUUUUCCUUUCCCUUCCUAAUUUGGUACUCGCCGCCACACAAACACAAAAAACACUCCAGAGUUAUUUGUUUGACAAGCAACCGAAACGCUGCAAUCUAUCCAAUUUGUCUGAUUAUACAAACUGAUUUGGGGACGCGGGUGAUGCAUAAAACGAAUAUGUAUUAAAGUCAUCGUCGAAA